rnacentral:lncRNA from 1 species
UACCUUCACUAAUGGUUUCUAUUUUUUCUGAUCCAAUAAACAGGAUAAGGGACAUCAAGGAUACAAAUGACUGAGCUGCUGCUCUUCAGUGUCUCCUGUUUUUCAUGGAGGGGCCUCGGAUCUUGAGUACUUACGGCCUCUGACUUGGCAAGAAAACAAACACGGGACACCUGCUGAUGAGGCAAUUGUGAAGAGUUGAAGAGGACUAUUUCCCACCUGUCGUUGACAGUGUCUUGAUUUACAUGAAGACCCUGGUGAAGAGACCAAACUACGCUCUCCCAGUCUAUCAUUCUAGUGGCACUGGAAAUUGGAUUUGGCUUGGGAAACUUCCAGUCUUAAAUGAUUAAGCAUCCAGAUACAAGGUUAUGGGAUUGCCUCAGUCAGGAGGACCUGCUUAACUCUGCAAUUCCAAGGGUUUCUAGAGGCGCUCCAAAGCCUUUGCCGGAAGGUGGCGACAUCCGCCCUUCUUGCCUAGAGCUGUCCCAGGUGCUGAA